GUCGAACGAAGUAGCAAUACUUAGCGGCAGACGGGUGAGUAACAUGUGGGUAUCUACCCUUUGGCCUGGAAUAACACGAGGAAACUUGUGCUAAUACUGGAUAAGUCUUUACGGAGAAAGCUUUAUGCACCAUUGGAUGAGCCCGCACUUGAUUAGUUUGUUGGUGGGGUAAUGGCCUACCAAGACUGUGAUCAAUGGCUGAUUUGAGAGGAUGAUCAGCCACAUUGGGACUGAGACACGGCCCAAACUCCUACGGGAGGCAGCAGUGGGGAAUCUUGCACAAUGGAGGAAACUCUGAUGCAGCGAUGCCGCGUGAGUGAAGAAGGCCUUUGGGUUGUAAAGCUCUUUCGUCGGGGAAGAAAAUGACUGUACCCGAAUAAGAAGGUCCGGCUAACUUCGUGCCAGCAGCCGCGGUAAUACGAAGGGACCUAGCGUAGUUCGGAAUUACUGGGCUUAAAGAGUUCGUAGGUGGUUGAAAAAGUUGGUGGUGAAAUCCCAGAGCUUAACUCUGGAACUGCCAUCAAAACUUUUCAGCUAGAGUAUGAUAGAGGAAAGCAGAAUUUCUAGUGUAGAGGUGAAAUUCGUAGAUAUUAGAAAGAAUACCAAUUGCGAAGGCAGCUUUCUGGAUCAUUACUGACACUGAGGAACGAAAGCAUGGGUAGCGAAGAGGAUUAGAUACCCUCGUAGUCCAUGCCGUAAACGAUGUGUGUUAGACGUUGGAAAUUUAUUUUCAGUGUCGCAGCGAAAGCGAUAAACACACCGCCUGGGGAGUACGACCGCAAGGUUAAAACUCAAAUGAAUUGACGGGGACCCGCACAAGUAGUGGAGCAUGUGGUUUAAUUCGAAGAUACGCGCAGAACCUUACCAACACUUGACAUGUUCGUCGCGACUUUAAGAGAUUAAAGUUUUCGGUUCGGCCGGACGAAACACAGGUGCUGCAUGGCUGUCGUCAGCUCGUGUCG
rnacentral:rRNA from 1 species